AUCCUGUCUGAAUAUGGGGGACCAUCCUCCAAGGCUAAAUACUCCUGACUGACCGAUAGUGAACCAGUACCGUGAGGGAAAGGCGAAAAGAACCCCGGCGAGGGGAGUGAAAAAGAACCUGAAACCGUGUACGUACAAGCAGUGGGAGCACAGGUUUACCUGUGUGACUGCGUACCUUUUGUAUAAUGGGUCAGCGACUUAUAUUCUGUAGCAAGGUUAACCGUAUAGGGGAGCCGUAGGGAAACCGAGUCUUAACC
rnacentral:rRNA from 1 species